AGCAGCCGCGGUAAUUCCAGCUCCAAUAGCGUAUAUUAAAGUUGUUGCAGUUAAAAAGCUCGUAGUUGAAUUUCGGAAUUUGUCGGUUGGUCGGGCUUCACUGUCCGCACUGGCCUGAUGGAUUCCUACCUUCUGAAUAACCAGCAUGCUAUUAAUUUAGUGCGUUGGGGAAGCAGAGCUAUUACCUUGAAAAAUUAGAGUGCUUAAAGCAGGCUUACGCUUGAAUAGAUUAGCAUGGAAUAAUAAAAUAGGACGGCUUGGUUCUAUUUUGUUGGUUUCUAGGAUCACCGUAAUGAUUAAUAGGGAUAGUUGGGGGCAUUAGUAUUCAAUUGUCAGAGGUGAAAUUCUUGGAUUUAUUGAAGACUAACUUCUGCGAAAGCAUUUGCCAAGGAUGUUUUCAUUAAUCAAGAACGAAAGUUAGGGGAUCGAAGACGAUCAGAUACCGUCGUAGUCUUAACCAUAAACUAUGCCGACUAGGGAUCGGACGAUGUUAAUUUUUAAUGACUCGUUCGGCGCCUUA
rnacentral:rRNA from 1 species